GGUUAAUCUGAUAUAUUGGUAAUAUCAAACUAUUUGCUAUAUAGUUUCAGAAAUGAGUCAGUGUUCGAUUCACUGAUUAACCG
rnacentral:tRNA from 1 species